rnacentral:rRNA from 1 species
UGCAAGUCGAACGAUGAAGCCURGCUUGCUGGGUGGAUUAGUGGCGAACGGGUGAGUAACACGUGAGUAACCUGCCCUUGACUCUGGGAUAAGCGCUGGAAACGGCGUCUAAUACCGGAUACGACCUGCCCCGGCAUCGGGUGUGGGUGGAAAGUUUUUCGGUCAAGGAUGGACUCGCGGCCUAUCAGCUUGUUGGUGAGGUAAUGGCUCACCAAGGCGACGACGGGUAGCCGGCCUGAGAGGGUGACCGGCCACACUGGGACUGAGACACGGCCCAGACUCCUACGGGAGGCAGCAGUGGGGAAUAUUGCACAAUGGGCGCAAGCCUGAUGCAGCAACGCCGCGUGGGGGAUGACGGCCUUCGGGUUGUAAACCUCUUUUAGUAGGGAAGAAGGGCUUCGGCUUGACGGUACCUGCAGAAAAAGCACCGGCUAACUACGUGCCAGCAGCCGCGGUAAUACGUAGGGUGCAAGCGUUGUCCGGAAUUAUUGGGCGUAAAGAGCUCGUAGGCGGUUUGUCGCGUCUGCUGUGAAAACCCGAGGCUCAACCUCGGGCCUGCAGUGGGUACGGGCAGACUAGAGUGCGGUAGGGGAGAAUGGAAUUCCUGGUGUAGCGGUGGAAUGCGCAGAUAUCAGGAGGAACACCGAUGGCGAAGGCAGUUCUCUGGGCCGUUACUGACGCUGAGGAGCGAAAGCGUGGGGAGCGAACAGGAUUAGAUACCCUGGUAGUCCACGCCGUAAACGUUGGGAACUAGAUGUGGGGACCUUUCCACGGUCUCCGUGUCGCAGCUAACGCAUUAAGUUCCCCGCCUGGGGAGUACGGCCGCAAGGCUAAAACUCAAAGGAAUUGACGGGGGCCCGCACAAGCGGCGGAGCAUGCGGAUUAAUUCGAUGCAACGCGAAGAACCUUACCAAGGCUUGACAUAUACCGGAAACUUCCAGAGAUGGUUGCCCCGCAAGGUCGGUAUACAGGUGGUGCAUGGUUGUCGUCAGCUCGUGUCGUGAGAUGUUGGGUUAAGUCCCGCAACGAGCGCAACCCUCGUUCUAUGUUGCCAGCACGUUAUGGUGGGAACUCAUAGGAGACUGCCGGGGUCAACUCGGAGGAAGGUGGKGAUGACGUCAAAUCAUCAUGCCCCUUAUGUCUUGGGCUUCACGCAUGCUACAAUGGCCGGUACAAAGGGCUGCGAUACCGUAAGGUGGAGCGAAUCCCAAAAAGCCGGUCUCAGUUCGGAUUGAGGUCUGCAACUCGACCUCAUGAAGUCGGAGUCGCUAGUAAUCGCAGAUCAGCAACGCUGCGGUG